UCUCCGCCCCGACCUGAAUGGAGCUCAUUUCUAUUUUUUCUGGAAAAAUAAAAAUAGCGGGAAUGGAGGGCGGAAAUAGGC
rnacentral:misc_RNA from 1 species